GACGAACGCUGGCGGCGUGCUUAACACAUGCAAGUCGAACGGAAAGGCCCUGCUUGCAGGGUACUCGAGUGGCGAACGGGUGAGUAACACGUGGGUGAUCUGCCCUGCACUUCGGGAUAAGCCUGGGAAACUGGGUCUAAUACCGGAUAGGAUCCAAUGUUAGUGUGAUGGUUGGAAAGUUUUUUCGGUGUAGGAUGAGCUCGCGGCCUAUCAGCUUGUUGGUGGGGUAAUGGCCUACCAAGGCGGCGACGGGUAGCCGGCCUGAGAGGGUGGACGGCCACAUUGGGACUGAGAUACGGCCCAGACUCCUACGGGAGGCAGCAGUGGGGAAUAUUGCACAAUGGGCGCAAGCCUGAUGCAGCGACGCCGCGUGCGGGAUGACGGCCUUCGGGUUGUAAACUGCUUUCGCUAGGGACGAAGCUUUUUGUGACGGUACCUAGAUAAGAAGCACCGGCUAACUACGUG
rnacentral:rRNA from 1 species